AGGGUCGAUUCCUUACUCAUCAGCCCUAAACGCUGGUCUGAGUGGUUCUAAAAGGACGAAAAGCAGAAGUGAAAUGAACUUGGAUUCUUGGUGACGUACAAGUUGGUUUCAAACGAAC
rnacentral:snoRNA from 1 species